GAUCCUGGCUCAGGAUAAACGCUAGCGGCAGGCCUAACACAUGCAAGUCGAGGGGCAGCGUAACGGGUAGCAAUACCUGUUGACGGCGACCGGCGCACGGGUGCGUAACGCGUAUGUAACCUACCGUUCACAGGGGGAUAGUCAGAGGAAACUUUGAAUAAUACCGCAUAAAACAGGGGUCCGGCAUCGGAAUAUUUGUUGAAGGUGGCGACACGGUGAACGAUGGGCAUGCGUUCGAUUAGAUAGUUGGAGAGG
rnacentral:rRNA from 1 species